rnacentral:rRNA from 1 species
GACGUAGGGCGCGAGCGUUGUCCGGAUUUAUUGGGCGUAAGGAGCUCGUAGGCGGCUUGUCGCGUCGGCUGUGAAAACCCGCGGCUCAACUGUGGGCGGGCAGCUGAUACGGGCAGGCUGGAGUUCGGUAGGGGAGACUGGAAUUCCUGGUGUAGCGGUGAAAUGCGCAGAUAUCAAGAGGAACACCGAUGGCGAAGGCAGGUCUCUGGGCCACUACUGACGCUGAGAAGCGAAAGCAUGGGAAGCGAACAGG